CCUACGGGAGGCUGCAGUGGGGAAUAUUGCACAAUGGGCGCAAGCCUGAUGCAGCAACGCCGCGUGAGGGAAGAAGGUCCUCGGAACUUUAAGCUCCUUUCGUGAGGGAGCAAGAUGAGACGGUACUGAAUGAGGAAGCGUCGUCUAACUACGAGCCAGCAGCCGCGGUAAUCCGGAGGCUGCAAGCGUUAUCCGGAUUUAUUGGGCGUAAGGAGUACGUAGGUGGAUUUGUAAGGGCGGGGUGAAAUGCAGUGGCUUAACCACUGUAAGCCUUGCGAACUGGAAGACUUGAGAGCAGGAGAGGAAAGCGGAAUUCGUAGUGUAGCGGUGAAAUGCUUAGAUAUUAGGAAGAACACCAGUGGCGAAGGCGGCUUUCUGGCCUGUAACUGACGCUGAGGUACGAAAGCGUGGGGAUCAAACAGGAUUAGAUACCCGAGUAGUC
rnacentral:rRNA from 1 species